GACGACGUAGCUCAGUGGAAGAGCACAGGGCUAUGCCUUGAGGGGUUCAAACCCAGCCGUCGCCA
rnacentral:tRNA from 2 species